rnacentral:rRNA from 1 species
UACAGAGGUCCCGAGCGUUGUUCGGAUUUAUUGGGCGUAAAGGGUGCGUAGGCGGCGGAGUAAGUUGGGUGUGAAAUCCCGGGGCUCAACCUCGGAAUUGCAUUCAAUACUGCUUCGCUCGAGUACUGGAGAGGAGGCUGGAAUUUACGGUGUAGCAGUGAAAUGCGUAGAUAUCGUAAGGAAGACCAGUGGCGAAGGCGGGUCUCUGGACAGUUCCUGACGCUGAGGCACGAAGGCCAGGGGAGCAAACGGG